rnacentral:rRNA from 1 species
GACGUAGGGGGCAAGCGUUGUCCGGAUUUAUUGGGCGUAAAGAGCGUGUAGGCGGCUUGGUAGGUCUUGCGUCAAAACCUGAGGCUCAACCUCAGUUCGCGUGGGAAACCAUCUAGCUAGAGUCCGGAAGAGGAGAACGGAAUUCCCAGUGUAGCGGUGAAAUGCGCAGAUAUUGGGAAGAACACCAGUGGCGAAGGCGGUUCUCUGGGACGGUACUGACGCUGAGACGCGAAAGCGUGGGGAGCGAACAGG